rnacentral:rRNA from 1 species
UACGUAGGGGGCUAGCGUUGUCCGGAUUUAUUGGGCGUAAAGAGCGUGUAGGCGGCCUGGUAGGUCUGCUGUGAAAACUCGAGGCUCAACCUCGAGAUGUCGGCGGAAACCAUCUGGCUAGAGUCCGGAAGAGGAGAGUGGAAUUCCUGGUGUAGCGGUGAAAUGCGUAGAUAUCGAGAGGAACACCUGCGGCGAAGGCGGGUUGCUGGGCUGACACUGACGCUGAGGCGCGAAAGCUAGGGGAGCGAACAGG